rnacentral:rRNA from 1 species
GAUGAACGCUGGCGGCGUGCCUAAUACAUGCAAGUCGAGCGAACAGAUGAGGAGCUUGCUCCUCUGACGUUAGCGGCGGACGGGUGAGUAACACGUGGAUAACCUACCUAUAAGACUGGGAUAACUUCGGGAAACCGGAGCUAAUACCGGAUAAUAUAUUGAACCGCAUGGUUCAAUAGUGAAAGACGGUUUUGCUGUCACUUAUAGAUGGAUCCGCGCCGCAUUAGCUAGUUGGUAAGGUAACGGCUUACCAAGGCAACGAUGCGUAGCCGACCUGAGAGGUGGACCGGCACAACUGGACCGGGGAAAGGGUCCAGACUCCUAGGGGAGGCAGAGGAAGGAAACUUUCGGCAAGGGGGGAAAGCUUGCGGGAGCAACGCGGGGGGAGGGAUGAAGGCCUCCGGACCGUAAAACCCUGUUAUUGGGGAAGAACAAAUGGGUAAGUAACUAGGCACGCCUGGACGGAACCUAAGCAGAAAGCCCCGGCUACCUACGU